CAAUUAAAGAAAGAAGCGUCGAAAUUCCUGUAUAAACCUGGGGCCAUUUCCCACAUCCAUGGGCUGGAAGACCUUUCUUCCGAAAUACGAUCGGAAUGAAGCCAUGAGUAAGAGCACCGGGUCACACCACCAUGACUAGCAGGCAAAGCCUUCUCCUGCUUUCCACAGGAACAAGUCGGCACACACGGACAUCAUUUGAGGUUGUGUUGGACAGGAAGUGCAUCCUGCAGGCCUCUUUUUCCCAGAACAAACAACCUUGAGUAAACAGCGUCUUUACUGGGGGGUUGGCAACUACCUUUAACAUGCUGAGGUUUGUCCUGCCAUUAAAGAGAUUCAGCAGGCUGAACAAGCUGAUGGUGUCGGGUGAUUCAGGGGCUUACCCAACAAUGGGAGUGACGCAGCAAGUCACGAUAAACAAGAUAAGGAUAGACCUUACAGUAGGAGCUGGUGAGCUGGCACGGGCACGGCACCAGAACUGGUUGAUCGGCUUUUCCAAGGCAACUGACUCCCAUCUCUGUGCCUAUAGUGGCUCAACUAAUAACACCCAGCUGGUACAGGCUGAUCUAACUGAG